CAUCAAAGGAGCAUUCCCUUGAAGAGAGAGUUAUCUCUGGGAUUUAAUUUCAGCCUGGGCAUUGUACCCCUUUCACUACUGUUGGCAACUCCAUGCUUCCAAGAACUAGUGAGCUGAAGAAUUUAGCACUUCUAAUAGAUUCAUCAAGCAAAGAGUAUGAACCAGAACUACCUUCCAGAUGACUUCUUCCUACCACUCUCCUCCUUCCCAGUGUAAGAGAAUGCAAGUAUGUGCUGAUGUUUGAAGCAAGAACAUUCAAGAAUUUCCCUAUUAAUAUAACUUCUAAUGGAAAUACAGUAUACUGGGAUGGAGACUAUAAAGAAGAAAUAA